CCUAACACAUGCAAGUCGAACGCAGUAGCAAUACUGAGUGGCAAACGGGUGAGUAUAAUGUGGGAAUCUGCCUUUUGGUCGGAAUAACACGAGGAAACCUGUGCUAAUACCGGAUAAGUCCUUACGGAGAAAGUUUUAAUGCCAAAAGAUGAGCCCGCAUUUGAUUAGCUAGUUGGUGAGGUAAAAGCUCACCAAGGCGAUAAUCAAUAGCUGAUUUGAGAGGAUGAUCAGCCACAUUGGGACUGAGACACGGCCCAAACUCC
rnacentral:rRNA from 1 species